rnacentral:misc_RNA from 1 species
AACGCACAUUGCGCCCGCUAGUAUUCUGGCGGGCAUGCCUGUCUGAGCGUCAUUUCAACCCUCGCCCCCGGCUUCUUGCCGGGAGCGGUGCUGGGGAUCGGCCGCCCGUCACUGGGAGGCCGGCCCUGAAAUAGAGUGGCGACCACGCCGUGUGCUCCUCUGCGUAGUAGUAAAAUCACCUCGCAGGCGGACAGCGGUGCGGCCUGCCGUAAAACCCCCAACUCUUUCAAUGGUUGACCUCAGAUCAGGUAGGAAUACCCGCUGAACUUAA